rnacentral:miRNA from 2 species
GUGGAUUCUAGCUUAUUGCUUA